AGAUUGAACGCUGGCGGCAGGCCUAACACAUGCAAGUCGAGCGGUAGAGAGGUGCUUGCACCUCUUGAGAGCGGCGGACGGGUGAGUAAUGCCUAGGAAUCUGCCUAGUGGUGGGGGAUAACGUUCGGAAACGGACGCUAAUACCGCAUACGUCCUACGGGAGAAAGCGGGGGACCUUCGGGCCUCGCGCCAUUAGAUGAGCCUAGGUCGGAUUAGCUAGUUGGUGAGGUAAUCGGCCCACCAAGGCGACGAUCCGUAACUGGUCUGAGAGGAUGAUCAGUCACACUGGAACUGAGACACGGUCCAGACUCCGUACGGGAGGCAGCAGGUGGGGAAUAUUAGGACAAUGGGACGAAAGCCUGAUCCAGCCAUGCCGCGUGUGUGAAG
rnacentral:rRNA from 1 species